rnacentral:rRNA from 1 species
AAGCGGUGGAUGAUGUGGUUUAAUCGAAGCAACGCGAAGAACCUUACCAGGUCUUGACAUCCCGAUGCUAUUCUAGAGAUAGAAAGUUACUUCGGUACAUCGGUGACAGGUGGUGCAUGGUUGUCGUCAGCUCGUGUCGUGAGAUGUUGGGUUAAGUCCCGCAACGAGCGCAACCCCUAUUGUUAGUUGCCAUCAUUCAGUUGGGCACUCUAGCGAGACUGCCGGUAAUAAACCGGAGGAAGUGGGAUGACGUCAAAUCAUCAUGCCCCUUAUGACCUGGGCUACACACGUGCUACAAUGGUUGGUACAACGAGUUGCGAGUCGGUGACGGCGAGCUAAUCUCUUAAAGCCAAUCUCAGUUCGGAUUGUAGGCUGCAACUCGCCUACAUGAAGUCGGAAUCGCUAGUAAUCGCGGAUCAGCACGCCGCGGUGAAUACGUUCCCGGGCCUU